GACGUAGGGCGCGAGCGUUGUCCGGAUUUAUUGGGCGUAAAGAGCUCGUAGGCGGCUUGUUGCGUCGACUGUGAAAACCCGCGGCUUAACUGCGGGCUUGCAGCUGAUACGGGCAGGCUAGAGUUCGGUAGGGGAGACUGGAAUUCCUGGUGUAGCGGUGAAAUGCGCAGAUAUCAGGAGGAACACCGGUGGCGAAGGCGGGUCUCUGGGCAGAUACUGACGCUGAGGAGCGAAAGCGUGGGGAGCGAACAGG
rnacentral:rRNA from 1 species